AAGCUGUUCCCGUCGAAAGCCAGAGAGAGCCCGGGGGCGGCGGUCACCAUCACGUCGGCGCCACUCAGGGUGACGCUGCGAGUGUAGCUGACGGCCUGGCUGCCCCGGUGCUCAUUGACUACAGUGACCGUGAAGUUCUCGACACCCUUGGGUGGUGCAGAGCAAGGCGCACUCAGCAGGUACUCGCAGGUGCCCUGGAAGUCGAAUCGGUGCCCAUCCAGGGUGAUGUAAUGGGGGUCACCCCAGGCCUGACACUCAGCUGUGCUGACAGGGUGGCAGCCGUGCUGGCCAGAGGGCAGCAGGGCACAUUCUUCACCCGGCCCACACUUGGCAGGCUUGCAGACCAAUGAGCCACCCCCAGGCCCGCAGUGGCACCUCUGGGAGCAGGUGGCAUCGGCCCAGAACUCACUGCCAGCUUCAUGGCCUAGGUGAAGAGAGAGCCCUCAGCUCCUAACUGGCUGGCAGGACCCCUCUCCCCAACUACGGGGCUCAAGAGACCAUCCUGCAGGACUUACCCGGACUUUGCCGAUCUCGCCUUUGUGGAUGGAGAUGUUGACGCUGAGGGCAGACACGGUGACGAGCCUCACAAAGGACACAGCAGGGUUGCCCCGGUUCUCAUUCUUGGUGGUGACGGUGAAGGGGGUCAGGCCCUGGGCGCUGACCCCCGGGCAGCCGGCGGCCGCCAGCACAUAGUCGCAGGUGCCCUGGAAGUCGAAGUCCCAGCCAUCGAAGGAGUGGUAGUGCGGGUCGCCCCACAGCCAGCACGUGGCCUCGUAGUUGGGUACACACACACCCUGCCCAUCCUUCUCCUGGCACGUCUCCUGUGGCCGACAGGUCACACCGUGACACGGGUCUGGAGACAGGGAGAGAGGAACUUGUGGGGCUGCCCAGCACAGGCCGGCUGCUCCCCAGCCUCAGCCCCGGUCUGCCCCAGGGAUUCUGCCCCGGGGCUUAGGGCUCCUGCAGGUGAGGACAGACACCAGGGGCUUCCCAUCUGAGACCAAGCCCUGGGGGUCCCCCAUGUUUGAAAUCCAGGCCCUGUGGUGGACUGUGUCUAAGACCCCAUCAAAGGCUCCCACAUUCAAGGCCAAGGCCCUGCAGUUUGCUGUCUGAGACCCACGCCCCGAGUACCUGACUGCCAAGACCUAGACUCUAGGGUCCCUACAUCAGAACCCAGCCCCAGGGGUGCCAGUAUCUGUGAUGCCAGCCCUGAGGGCAUCCAUGAGGGCAUCCACAGCCCCAGAGUUUUCCAUGUUCAAGACCUGGGUCCCUAUUAUCCUGUCCAGUGGCACCAAGGGUCUCAGUUCUGGAGGCCCCAUUCUUUAUCUAUUUAUCUAUUUUUAUCUAUUUAUCUAUUUAUAAGGAGUUAUUCUCUGUCCUUCACCCUAAGAAACCAGUCCUGGGGGGGCAUCUCUGUGACUUAGACUUAAUCUGGGGGGGCCCCAUGUCUGAGAUUGUUUCCCUAUAAAUCCCGAUCCUCUUCGGGGGGGGGGUCCUGUAUCUAAGACCCCAGCCUUCGUGGGGUCUCUACCUGAGACCUCAGGACUAUGCUUUCUGUCUCUGUCCCUGGGGGUCCUGAUUUCCCCUACCUUGAAGGGGAGAUGGUGUUAGAAGCCCUGAGCCUAAUCCUGCAUACCAGUGGUCAGUAAACUAUGGCAUAGCCAGCUGCCUGUUUUUAUAAAUACCAGAGGGUUUUAUUGGAGCCUCACCCCCUCACUUACAUAGCCUACGACUGAUUUCAUGCCACAGUGGCAGAGUUGAGUAGUUAUGACCGAGACUAUAAGGCCUGCAAGUUCAAAUAUUUACCAUCUGUCCCUUUAGGGGAAAAGUUUGCCUGUCCUUGCCUUAUGCCAAGGGUCUCUGACAUCUGCCCUAGGGAACCUAGCCCUGAGGGUCCCCAAAGCCUGCAUUUUACUGUAAGGUAGAACUCCACCUCCCAGCCUGGAGGGCCUGUGCCCCUAGCCCUGGGAAUCCCAGCCCCGGGGCCCCCAGAUUGGAGACCUCAAUCCUUAGUCCUUUGUGCCACCCACUGUGAAAAUCUAGGUUCACACCUCCCGCUGCUCCAGAGUCCCCAUCCUCUAUUCCCAGCCCCACGGGGCCCAGCCCCAGCCCAGCACCUUUGGUGACGCAGCUCAGGACACCUCCUGAGGGCUCGCACACCUGCCCUGGCUUGCAGCUGUGGGCCUGGCAUUCUAGGCCUUUUCCAGCGUGGCACACACACUGUUGCUGGCACCUGUCGAUGAGGACCACCUGGUUCGGCUGUGAGGACAGAGGACACGGCCAUCAGGGUGGGAGCUGAACUGGCAUCUCCAGUGUCCCGGGGACAGAGUGUCCAGAGGACAUCAAGGGAACAUCUUUCAGCAGAGUGGCCCCUUGUCUGUGCAACUAGGGCACCGCAUGGCCUUGGGGUCCAAUUCAUUCAUUCAUUCAUUCACUCACUCACUCGUUUUUCCAAAAUAUCCACUUAAUGUCUGCUGUAUGUGAGAAACGGUGUAACAUGAAUUAAGAGCAAAGGCCCUGGAGCAAAUUGCCUGGGUCUGAAGCCUCAUUCUGCUAUUUCCAAA